UGACAUAGGAGAAUGAGAAACUAAAAGAAAUAAGAGAAUUAUUAGAAGAGCAACUUGCUUCAUUUCAAUCUGACAAAGAAGAAGUCAUACAACUGGAAAGGUCUUUACAGGAGAAGAUUGAGGAGCAAGAUGAAGAAUUGCAACUACUUAAAGUACAGUUAGCAUCGUAUCAAGAGAAGGAAGGUGAAGAGGAAAGUUUUGCAGAAGAAAUUGAGAAAUUACAGUCAGCAACUGAUAAAGAUGAAAGAGAUAAGAUAGUACAAGGUUUGCUGUCACAUAGUGGAAAGUUAAAAGGAAAAUUGUCAAUGGCAGAAAAAAUGAUUGUGCAACUGCAAAAAGAAUUAAAGCAAAAAGACCAGACUAUGCAACAAGAGCAAGGUCAGUCCAACCAAGAGUUCACAAUUUAGAACAAUGUAAAGCAUCACUAGCCAAGAGUAAACAAGAAAUAGAAUUAUUGCAAGAAAAGAUAACAACAAUGACUUUACAACAAAUUGAAAGAGAUAAACAAGUGCAAGAAAAAGAACAAAUGUUACUAUUGAAAAUUAAAAACUUGGAGAA